UCUCCCGUAGCUCAGCAGGGAGAGCGCCACCUUGACAGGAUGGAGGUCGCUGGUUCGAGGCCAGUCGGGAUUA
rnacentral:tRNA from 1 species